UCUAGUUAGUAGCAAGGGUACAGUCAAAUUAUAGUCAGCUUUAUAGAACAGAGUCAAAAGAGAUAGACAAAAGCUAUGGAUGGAAGUAAAUAUAAAUUUGGGCUGAAUAUGAGGUCAUGAUCUCAUUUCUCCGUCUCUGCCUUUCUAAGCUCCCUAUACCUGGACUCAGUGGUUCCUUACCUUAGAAACAAACUCACAGCCCUUCUUUCCCUUGACGCCUGCAACAGGCUUUGAAAGAAGACAUUUCUGGACUUAAGUCCUCCUUCUUUCAUUAAUGAUUUGUGUAGUCUUCAGUAAUUUGGGUGUCAAGAUUUCAUUCCUCAGAAACCUGAGAAGAUUAAGAUGGAUUAUCAGAUUAGUUUGAGGAAAGUGAGAGAGCUGGUGGCUAGAAAUUCUAAAAAUAGGAUAUAUUCAGGUACAACCAGCUAUCAGAAUUUCCCAUGAAAAUUCUGUGCUAUGAUCUAUAGAGCUUGUUUCGUCAAGAACCUUUCAGUUGCUACUUUAUUGAUUCAGUCUAUAUGGAGGGAAAAUUUAUUUCAGCCAUAACUGAUUUUUCAAGUAAUUACUCAAUCAUCUGCUUUCUUCUACCUACCCCAGAUAGAGUAUUCUAGAAGCAGAUGCUGAGAUGGAGCUCAGAGUGCAAGCUGUUACCCAUGAGGGAAAGGCAGGGGGAGAAGUGAAACCGUGAGACGGGCUCUGCAAAGCCUUGAUGAACCCACUGAGUUGACUGUGAAGUCUUUCCAAAGAUUAGUCACAAUAGUCAGGCUUUGUAUGCGACCUUGCUCUGUCACUAAUGUGGACUGAGCUGUAAGGGUGUGACCCCAGGUGAGGCAGGUCUCCAGAGCCGAGGCAGACUCUGAAGCAGCUGACAACUUUGGACCAUCUGCUGACCACGCUCCCUGUAACUGGGCAUUUUGUCAUUCCCUGACGAGAAACCUAAGAGGUGUUGAGGGAUUUCUUUGGGGUUCAGAUGUCCUUGGCUGGGAGAAGGGAGAUCGCAUAUCAUUAUGGAGGAACUUGGUGACAGCUGAAGAAUCUAGGAGAAUCCUGGGGCACAGAGAGCGCAAGUGAGGCUUAAACCACUCAGCCUCUGGCCAGUUCUCCCCAUGGAGGAACCUCAAGAUUCCUGGGCCCUCCCAUCUCUGCCCCUGUCUGCUCCUGCACCUCUUCCAGGCACUGGCAACUGGUUGAGCCUGCUAGCAAUUACCCUUGUUUCUCUUUCCCUCUUCUUCCCCUUUCUUCAUUUGACUGCUUCAACCAGUCGUUUCCAUCCCAGCACCAGUUAUUCCCUGACUGGACGUCAAAGAGGCAACCAUCUUGCUCCUUUUUCAUGGAACAAAGCAGACAAACCAUGCGCAUUCUUAGCUCAGCUCAGCUGGUGAAGAAUCUGCCUGCAAUGCAGAAGACCCCAGUUUGAUUCCUGGGUCGGGAAGAUCGCCUGGAGAAGGGAUAGGCUACCCACUUCAGUAUCUUACUGCAUAAUUUACAUGUAUUUUAGACCAUGGAAAUGGUGUUAGACAAAAAGCAAAUUCAAGAGAUUUUCUUAUUUGAGUUCAAAAUGAGUCUUAAAUAAGCAGAGACAACUCAAUAACACAUUUGGCCCAGGAACUGCUAACCAAUGUACAGUGCAGCAGUGAUUCAAGAAGUUUUGCAAACGAAAUGAGAGAUUUGAAGAUGUGGAACACAGUGGCCAUCCAUUGAAAGUUGACAACAACCAAUGAGAGCCAUCAUAGAAACUGAUCCUGUUAUAACUGCACAAGAGUUUGGCAACACAACCGUUCUACGGUCAUUGGGCAUCUGAAGAAAAUUGGAAAGGUGAUAAAGCUCUAUAAGUGGGUGCCUCAUGAGCUGACCUAAAAUCAAAAAUAUCAUUUUUGAAGUGUCAUCUUCUCAUUGUAUACAACAGCAGUAAACCAUUUCUCAAUCUGAUUGUUACAUGCGAUUAAAAGUUGAAUUUAUACAUACAACUACUGGCGAUGACUAGCUCAGUGGUUGGACUGAGAAGCUCCAAACCGUUUCCCAAAUCCAAACCUGCACCAAAAAAGUUCAUGUCCACUGUUUGGUGGUGUGCUGCCAAUCUGAUCCACUGCAGCUUUCUGAAUCCAGGCAAAACCAUUACAUCUGAGAAGUGUGCUCAGCAAAUUGAUAUGAUGCACAAAAAAUUGCAGCACCUGCAGCCAGCAUUGUUCAACAAAGUGGGCCCAAUUCUUCCCCAUGACAAUGCCUGACCGCAAGUCGCACAACCCACACUUCAAAAGUUGAAUGAAUUGGUCUACGAAGUUUUGCCUCAUCCACCGUAUUCACCUGAUCUCUCACCAUUCAGCUACCACUUCUUCAAGCAUCUCGACAACCUUUAGCAGAGAAAAUGCUUCCGUAACCAGCAGGAGGCAGAAAGUGCUUUCCAAGAGUUGAUUGAAAUCCAAAGCAUGGAUAUGUAUGCUACAGGAAUAAACCUAUCUCUGAUUGGCAAAAAUGUGUUGAUUGUAAUGGCUCCUAUUUUAAUUUGUUUGAGCCAAAUUACAAUGAUUUAAAAUUCAUGAUCUGAAACCACAAUUACAUUUGUACCUACCUAAUACCCCCGUCUGUGGGGUCGCACAGAGUCGGACAUGACGGAAGCGGCUUAGCAGCAGCAGCAGCAAUACAUAUAUAUACAUAAUAUCCUAUUGGUUCUGUUUCUCAGGAGAACCCUGACUAAUGAGGAGGGGAUAUAAUUUGUGUCCUUACUUCCUAGAUCUUUCAUUGAAAUGAACUGUAUUCAAGGAGUUGUACCCAAGGAAGUACACUGCUGCUGCUGCUAAGUUGCUUCAGUCGUGUCCGACUCUGUGCGACCCAUAGACGGCAGCCCACCAGGCUCCCCUGUCCCUGGGAAGUACACUAGCUUUUAUUAUUGGACUUUAUCUUGUAAGCCAAUGUGUGACUCUUUGUCUUUUGUCAGAGAUGUCCAAGGACUUUAUUGAUUGAUUCUAGGGGAUAUUGCUUGUUUCUAACAUUUUAAUCAUAAAUGCAGCCUCUGAAUGGCUCACCAACCCUGGGAGGGAAGAUGCUAUAUGUAGUGACUGAGCUCUCAGUGGUCUUCUCAAUGGCAAUUGAAUUCUCUGAUGAGGUCAGCCUUAAGAACAUAUUGACGAAAUGAGAGGGAGCAAUUUGAGACCUCUUUUGACAGGCUGAGGCACUUCUAGUUAAAAAUGUGACCUAAAAAAAGAAAACUUCUUAUUUUGUAACACCAUAAUCUUUCCCCAGUGGCUCAACAGUAAAGAACCCACCUGCAAUGCAGGAGACACAGGUUCUUCCU